GACGAACGCUGGCGGCGUGCUUAACACAUGCAAGUCGAACGGAAAGGCCCUGCUUGCCGGGUGCUCGAGUGGCGAACGGGUGAGUAACACGUGGGUGAUCUGCCCCUUACUUUGGGAUAAGCCUGGGAAACUGGGUCUAAUACUGGAUAGGACCAUGCUGUAGGUGGUGUGGUGGAAAGAUUAGUUUCGGUAAGGGAUGAGCUCGCGGCCUAUCAGCUUGUUGGUGGGGUAAUGGCCUACCAAGGCGUCGACGGGUAGCCGGCCUGAGAGGGUGGACGGCCACAUUGGGACUGAGAUACGGCCCAGACUCCUACGGGAGGCAGCAGUGGGGAAUAGUGCACAAUGGGCGCAAGCCUGAUGCAGCGACGCCGCGUGGGGGAUGACGGCCUUCGGGUUGUAAACUCCUUGCAGCCAUGACGAAGCCCUUGUGGUGACGGUAGUGGUAGAAGAAGCACCGGCUAACUACGUG
rnacentral:rRNA from 1 species